rnacentral:rRNA from 1 species
UACGGGGGGGGCAAGCGUUGUUCGGAAUUACUGGGCGUAAAGGGCUCGUAGGUGGCCAACUAAGUCAGACGUGAAAUCCCUCGGCUUAACCGGGGAACUGCGUCUGAUACUGGACGGCUUGAGUUCGGGAGAGGGAUGCGGAAUUCCAGGUGUAGCGGUGAAAUGCGUAGAUAUCUGGAGGAACACCGGUGGCGAAGGCGGCAUCCUGGACCGACACUGACGCUGAGGAGCGAAAGCCAGGGGAGCAAACGGG